rnacentral:rRNA from 1 species
GACGAACGCUGGCGGCGUGCCUAAUACAUGCAAGUAGAACGCUGAAGGAGGAGCUUGCUUCUCUGGAUGAGUUGCGAACGGGUGAGUAACGCGUAGGUAACCUGCCUGGUAGCGGGGGAUAACUAUUGGAAACGAUAGCUAAUACCGCAUAAGAGUAGAUGUUGCAUGACAUUUGCUUAAAAGGUGCAAUUGCAUCACUACCAGAUGGACCUGCGUUGUAUUAGCUAGUUGGUGAGGUAACGGCUCACCAAGGCAACGAUACAUAGCCGACCUGAGAGGGUGAUCGGCCACACUGGGACUGAGACACGGCCCAGACUCCUACGGGAGGCAGCAGUAGGGAAUCUUCGGCAAUGGACGGAAGUCUGACUGAGCAACGCCGCGUGAGUGAAGAAGGUUUUCGGAUCGUAAAGCUCUGUUGUAAGAGAAGAACGAGUGUGAGAGUGGAAAGUUCACACUGUG